AAUGCCCCUUGAGGCGUUGCAGCUCAGCUGCUGGUGCUGCUGCUGUGUCAUAAGGCGGCAGAGAGAGACGGGUGGUGGUCUGUACAGCGACUGGACCGCUGACACAGGCUCUGGUCAUUUUCCACCCCCCCACACU